AACGAACGCUGGCGGCAGGCUUAACACAUGCAAGUCGAACGCCCCGCAAGGGGAGUGGCAGACGGGUGAGUAACGCGUGGGAAUCUACCUAGUUCUACGGAACAACAGAGGGAAACUUCUGCUAAUACCGUAUACGCCCUAAGGGGGAAAGAUUUAUCGGAAUUAGAUGAGCUCGCGUAAGAUUAGCUAGUUGGUGGGGU
rnacentral:rRNA from 1 species